UCGAGGACACGGCCCGUGGGAGAAUUGAACUCACAACCUUGGCACUACCUGGACUGUGCUCCGACUGACUGAGCCCUCUGCAUCACAGCCUCCCAGAGCUCCCAGGCAGCUGCCAGCUAUUAAAUGCCAACCGACAGCCUGCAGAGAUGCCUUCAAAUCAAAGGUUCAGGUGGGAUGAAGUUUUGUUUGGACGAAGGUGGGAGUUUCCAGGGAGCCAGCUGGAAGUGCAGAAGGGAUGGAAAGCUUUCC